rnacentral:rRNA from 1 species
UGAUGACCAUAGCAAGGUGGCACCACUCCUUCCCAUCCCGAACAGGACAGUGAAACGCCUUAGCGCCGAUGAUAGUGCCCAAUUGCCGGGUGUGAAAGUAGGACAUCG